AAAGAUGACUAUAUAUCCUGAAAGCAUCAGAUCCCAUCUGUUCUUGGAAGUUAAGCAAAGUUAGAUCUGUUUAAUACUUGCAUGGUGGAACACCAAGGACUAUUAGGUGCUGUAGGUU
rnacentral:rRNA from 11 species